rnacentral:lncRNA from 1 species
UCUUUUUGGUGAUACGGGAAUAUUUGGGAAUUUAUAGGCCAAGAAAUAGGGUUAGGAGACCUGUAGAGGGCCACAAGCCGGGGGGCACGACCAACCCCCGAGGGCACGCCCUGCAGACUUGUGGCCUCCCAGCAAGUGCCUUGCCCCCUACUCCAAGUCUCUUGGGUGUCUUGUGGUCCAAGAAAAAUCUUUCCGGAGAUUUUGUUCCGUUUGGACUCUGUUUAAUAUUCCUUAUCUGCAAUAUUCAA